rnacentral:rRNA from 1 species
GUGGAUUAGAUACCCUGGUAGUCCACGCAGUAAACGAUGAAUACUAACUGUUUGCGAUACACAGUAAGCGGUACAGCGAAAGCGUUAAGUAUUCCACCUGGGGAGUACGCCGGCAACGGUGAAACUCAAAGGAAUUGACGGGGGCCCGCACAAGCGGAGGAACAUGUGGUUUAAUUCGAUGAUACGCGAGGAACCUUACCCGGGCUCAAACGUUGGGGGAAUAAUUUGGAAACAGAUUAGCUAGCAAUAGCCGCCAACGAGGUGCUGCACGGCUGUCGUCAGCU